rnacentral:rRNA from 1 species
AGAGUUUGAUCCUGGCUCAGGAUGAACGCUGGCGGUAUGCUUAACACGUGCAAGUCGGACGGGAAGUGGUGUUUCCAGUGGCAGACGGGUGAGUAACGCGUAAGAACCUGCCCUUGGGAGGGGAACAAUAGCGGGAGAUGACUGCUAAUACCCCAUAGGCUGAGGAGAAAAAGGGGGAAUCUGCCCAAGGAGGGGCUCGCGUCUGAUUAGUUAGUUGGUGAGGCAAUGGCUUACCAAGGCGACGAUCAGUAGCUGGUCUGAGAGGAUGAUCAACCACGCUGGGACUGAGACAUGGCCCAGACUCCUACGGGAGGAAGCAGUGGGGAAUUUUCUGCAAUGGGCGACAGCCUGAUGGAGCAAUGCCGCGUGAAGGCAAAAGGCCCACGAGUCAUGAACUUCUUUUCUCGGAGAAGAAAAAUGACGGUCUCUGAGGAAUAAGCAUCAGCUAAAUCUGUGCCAGCAGCCGCGGUAAU